rnacentral:rRNA from 2 species
ACGGAAGGCAGCAGUAGGGAAUAUUGCACAAUGGGGGAAACCCUGAUGCAGCGACGCCGCGUGAGCGAUGAAGUAUUUCGGUAUGUAAAGCUCUAUCAGCAGGGAAGAUAAUGACGGUACCUGACUAAGAAGCCCCGGCUAACUACGUGCCAGCAGCCGCGGUAAUACGUAGGGGGCAAGCGUUAUCCGGAUUUACUGGGUGUAAAGGGAGUGUAGAUGGCAUGGCAAGUCAGAUGUGAAAGCUCGGGGCUCAACCCCGGAACUGCAUUUGAAACUGUCAAGCUGGAGUGCAGGAGAGGAAAGUGGAAUUCCUAGUGUAGCGGUGAAAUGCGUAGAUAUUAGGAAGAACACCAGUGGCGAAGGCGGCUUUCUGGACUGUAACUGACAUUGAGGCUCGAAAGCGUGGGGAGCAAACAGGAUUAGAUACCCUGGUA